GCAGUGGUGGUUCAGUGGUAGAGUUCUCGCCUUCCAUGUGGCAGACCUGGAUUCAAUUCCCAGACAGUGCU
rnacentral:tRNA from 1 species